CUUAGUGUGUGGCUGUGGAACAUAAAGGGUUUUUUCAAGGAACCUAAAUCCCACACCCUAAAUCAGCAGCUGCAGGAGUAUAAAGGAUUUAGGUUUCAUUUGAAUUUGAAUGUGAUGAUCGAAAGAUGUCGCCCCCGUCUUACAGCAUCUACAUCCCUUGAUGCAAAAAUCAUGGUUUGCCGCUGCCAUCAUACUCUGUCCACAGUCCACCAGUCGGUGGUUCGUCAAGUGCUCAACUUUUCACUUCUCUCUUCUCUUUCAAUUUAGGUCCGAGUUCUUGCCUUAUUGCAUUAUUUCCUUUUAAUUGGUAUUUUGUAUUUGUUGUUAAUUGUUUUAAAUUGAUAUUUUGUUGUUCUAAAACACUUUUUAAUUUGUUGUUAAUUGUUAUAAAUUGAUAUUUUGUAUUCAAGUACUAGUUGAAUGGAGUAUGAACUUAUAAAGGUGUUAUAGAUUUAAUUGGAUAUUUAAAAGGUGUUAGUUAUGGAUUUGAUGAUUGAAAUAUUGAAUCAUGUAUUCCAUUUUUGAAUUUUGAAAUUGGUUAUUUUUGCUAUUGAAUAUUGAUAGUAGAUUAUCAGUAAACGAGUUAAAUUUGUGUUGACAGAAUUAUAUCCUCCUCUCGUAAUAAUAAGAGGAAAACUUUAGCUGGUAGUAGGACAGACCCGAGUUGGGAGUAUGGUAGUAAAGUGCAAAUAUUGUGAUGUUGUGCGUCCUGGUGGAAUUCGUAGGCUUAAAUACCAUCAAGCUUGUACAAAAG